CCCUUAGAUGUCCUGGGCCGCACGCGCGCUACACUGAUGCAUGCAACGAGUUUAUAACCUUGGCCUGAAAGGUCUGGGUAAUCUUUUGAACGUGCAUCGUGAUAGGGAUAGAUUAUUGCAAUUGUUAAUCUUGAACGAGGAAUUCCUAGUAAACGCGAAUCAUCAGCUCGCAUUGAUUACGUCCCUGCCCUUUGUACACACCGCCCGUCGCACCUACCGAUUGAAUGGUUCGGUGAAGAUCUCGGACUUCGAUAUUUAUUCUUUAUUGAGUUUAUAUUGUGGGAAGUUAUCUAAACCUCAUCAUUUAGAGGAAGGUGAAGUCGUAACA
rnacentral:rRNA from 1 species